GAUGAACGCUGGCGGCGUGCCUAAUACAUGCAAGUCGAGCGAACGGGCGAGAGGCUUGCUUCUCUGAUGUUAGCGGCGGACGGGUGAGUAACACGUGGAUAACCUACCUAUAAGACUGGGAUAACUUCGGGAAACCGUAGCUAAUACCGGAUAAUAUUUUGAACCGCAUGGUUCAAAAGUGAAAGACGGUCUUGCUGUCACUUAUAGAUGGAUCCGCGCUGCAUUAGCUAGUUGGUAAGGUAACGGCUUACCAAGGCAACGAUGCAUAGCCGACCUGAGAGGGUGAUCGGCCACACUGGAACUGAGACACGGUCCAGACUCCUACGGGAGGCAGCAGUAGGGAAUCUUCCGCAAUGGGCGAAAGCCUGACGGAGCAACGCCGCGUGAGUGAUGAAGGUCUUCGGAUCGUAAAACUCUGUUAUUAGGGAAGAACAUAUGUGUAAGUAACUGUGCACAUCUUGACGGUACCUAAUCAGAAAGCCACGGCUAACUACGUG
rnacentral:rRNA from 1 species